rnacentral:rRNA from 1 species
CCUACGGGAGGCAGCAGUGGGGAAUAUUGGACAAUGGGCGCAAGCCUGAUCCAGCCAUGCCGCGUGAAUGAUGAAGGCCUUAGGGUUGUAAAGUUCUUUCACCGAUGAAGAUAAUGACGGUAGUCGGAGAAGAAGCCCCGGCUAACUUCGUGCCAGCAGCCGCGGUAAU